rnacentral:rRNA from 1 species
UGGGGAAUUUUGGACAAUGGGCGCAAGCCUGAUCCAGCAAUGCCGCGUGCAGGAUGAAGGCCUUCGGGUUGUAAACUGCUUUUGUACGGAACGAAACGGUCUUUUCUAAUACAGAAGGCUAAUGACGGUACCGUAAGAAUAAGCACCGGCUAACUACGUGCCAGCAGCCGCGGUAAUACGUAGGGUGCGAGCGUUAAUCGGAAUUACUGGGCGUAAAGCGUGCGCAGGCGGUUUUGUAAGACAGAGGUGAAAUCCCCGGGCUCAACCUGGGAAUUGCCUUUGUGACUGCAAGGCUUGAGUGCGGCAGAGGGGGAUGGAAUUCCGCGUGUAGCAGUGAAAUGCGUAGAUAUGCGGAGGAACACCGAUGGCGAAGGCAAUCCCCUGGACCUGUACUGACGCUCAUGCACGAAAGCGUGGGGAGCAAACA